GACGAACGCUGGCGGCGUGCCUAAUACAUGCAAGUAGGACGAGUUGCGAACGGGUGAGUAACGCGUGGUAACCUACCUAUUAGAGGGGGAUAACUAAUGGAAACGGUAGCUAAUAACGCAUACCAUCGGAUGUGCCCAGAUGGGAUUAGCGAGUAGGUGGUGUAACGGCUCACCUAGGCGACGAUCCCUAGCUGGUCUGAGAGGAUGAACAGCCACCCUGGAACUGAGACACGGUCCAGACGCCGACGGGAGUCAGCAGUGGGGAAUAUUGCACAAUGGGCGCAAGCCGGAUGCAUCCAUGCCGCGUGUAUGAAGAAGGCCGUCGGGUUGUAAAGUACUUUCAGCGAGGAGGCGUUACUCGCAGAAGAAGCACCGGCUAACUCCGUGCCAGCAGCCGCGGUAAUUC
rnacentral:rRNA from 1 species